rnacentral:rRNA from 1 species
UUAGUAACUGCGAGUGAAGAGGGAAAAGCUCAAAUUUAAAAUCUGGCAGCAUUUUGUUGUCCGAGUUGUAACCUAGAGAAGUGUAACCUGUGCUGGACCGUGUAUAAGUUUCCUGGAAUGGAGCAUCACAGAGGGUGAGAAUCCCGUCUUUGACAUGGACUACCAGUGCAUUGUGGUUGUGCUCUCAACGAGUCGAGUUGUUUGGGAAUGCAGCUCUAAAUGGGUGGUAAAUUCCAUCUAAAGCUAAAUAUUGGCGAGAGACCGAUAGCGAACAAGUACCGUGAGGGAAAGAUGAAAAGAACUUUGGAAAGAGAGUUAAACAGUAUGUGAAAUUGUUGAAAGGGAAACGUUUGAAGUCAGUCGCGUUAGCUGGGGAUCAGCCUGACAUUGUUGGGUGCACUUCCUGGUUGACGGGCCAACAUCAGUUUUGACUGCCAGAAAAAGGCCAAGGGAAUGUGGCACCUUUGGGUGUGUUAUAGCCUUUGGUCAUAUAUGGUGGUUGGGACUGAGGAACGCAGUGUGCCGAAAGGCCGGGUUUCGACCACGUUCACACUGAGGAUGUUGGCAUAAUGGCUUUAAGCGACCCGUCUUGAAACACGGACCAAGGAGUCUAACAUGCAUGCGAGUGUUUGGGUGGAAAACCCUUACGCGUAAUGAAAGUGAAAGUUGAGAUCCCUGUCGUGGGGAGCAUCGACGCCCGGACCAGAACUUUUGGGACGGAUCUGCGGUAGAGCACGUAUGUUGGGACCCGAAAGAUGGUGAACUAUGCCUGAAUAGGGUGAAGCCAGAGGAAACUCUGGUGGAGGCUCGUAGCGAUUCUGACGUGCAAAUCGAUCGUCAAAUUUGGGUAUAGGGGCGAA